CCGCCUCUUUUCUUUUCCAGGUGCUCAGCUGAUGAUCAGGGAAAGGCCCCAGGGUCUCAGGAACUCACAGCAACCCUCCAGCCUCAGCCUUUUGAAUGUUAGGAUUAUAAAUGUGAGUGACUGUGCCUGGAUCAUAUUGUACUCACAAGGCUCUGGGUUUCGGCCAGUCUCUCUCUCACACACACACACACACACACACACACACACACACACACACACACACACACCCCUUAUCACCUGCAGCUCUCACACAAGCCAUUCCCUCCCAGGUGCACACGGCAAGCUCCUGAGCAUGGAACUGCACAUCGUCUCUUCACAGCCAUUCCAUUUCCAGUCCUGAUCUACACCCUCAAGUGCAGCAGAAAGGAAUAGGUGCAGAAAGGAAAGAAGAGAUUGCUCCUGCUCUAGAGAACGGAAGGCUCAAAGGGAAAGGCG
rnacentral:lncRNA from 1 species